UAUUAUAAUAUAAUAUAAUAUAAUAUAAUAUAAUAUAAUAUAAUAGUCAUUAUUGUCAUUAUUAAUAUGAUUAUUAUUUGUCAAAAAUAAAGAAAUUAAUUUCCAAAAAAAAAAAAAACCCAUUUAACAUCACACGAGAACGGACUCCUCCUGGACCGUUUGCGGCGUCGCUUCUCUCAGAUCACAGAGAGGAAAUCAUCAUCAUCAUCAUCAUCAUCAUCACGCGGACUCAGAUGGCCCGAGGCGCUGCGUCGAUGAAAUUGGAUAUUUAAGGCAGUGCAGAAAGCAGUUCACGUUCACUCUCAGCGGGCGCGCGGCUGGAGAGUCAGAGGGGGUAGACGCGCGCUCUGUAACUGACUGACAAAUAAUAUGAGGCUACAGUGUUGUGAACGAGGCUUCAUAUAACGUGACCGGGAAGAGAACAAGGCACGGACUCGAGUCCUCGUUCAACGCGGAGGCUGAGGAGGAGGACGGUGGAUGACCGCGAGCGCUCCCUUCAGCGCGCAUUACCAAUGCGUCAGAAGAGCGCGUGUCUCUGAACUCCAGCUGCAGACAUUUGGCACGGACUUGCUUGACGUUGCUAAUUGGAGCUCAAAACGUUGAAUUGUCACUGAAUGCAAAACUGUAUGCAGGUCCAAAAUCUUGAGGGGGAUGAACUGUGUUGUCAGCAUACUGGAAACAGUAAACCAGCUUGUAGGAGGCAGAGAGCUCAGUGAGUCUCUCAAAGAAUAUGUAAUGCAACACCAUCUCUGAUUCUGCUGAGACCUGCGAAUGAAGGCUUAGGAGGUGCAGAGGUCCGUGUGAGCCACUCUGAUAAAACUUGCAGUCCUCUUAUAGUCCUGUCACUGCACCCAAAUGUAGAUGUAAAGUGCACACAUUGCUUGGCAAAAUGACAGAUGGAUAGAGAGCAGGGAGUGAAUUGGCACCAUAAUACAUCCCUGUUUUACUUGUCAUAUCAUGCAGAAACAAUUUUAAAAGCCUCUAGAUAGCUGAUUUUUUUCCCCCCAUAGAGGUUUUUCUUCCUCAUUUACUCUUAACAAUGAAGGAGAUAUAGUGUAAACAAUUUAUUGAAGCCCUGGCUUUUCAUCCGUAUUGAAAUCAAAAUAUGUUCCUUUGCUCUAUUCAAUCCUGCAAUCUGUCAACAGGACAAGAAGUCCGCAUUAAAGCGUGGAAAGUUAAAGUGUGGAAAGAACAUUUCUUUCAUUGAACAAUUUUGGUACAAAAAAACUUUGUUGCUUUCCAAGAUGAAUUUCUGAAGAAAUAAAAUACAAUAGUGUAAAAAAAAAAAAAAACCC
ensembl:lncRNA